AUGUAACGGUGAUUUUCAGAUGCAAAAUCACGCCUUUUCGAUGCUCGAUUACAUCUUCCUUGGAAUUACACAGAAAUAUAAUAACAUUUUUUUAUUACACCUAACUUGUGUAAUAUCAACACCCAUUGAACGUGUUUAUUACACAAAACCAGCUGCAACCAAGUGGGUGCAAAGCAGUUGUGUACAAUUACACAAAAUCGAUGGUCAUAUCGCAUCCCGACGAUACGAUAUUAAAUCUUGCAACACUGUACUGAUUGUUUGUGAUCGGUUUGCACCAGCGAAGCAAGCCGCCAUCUUCCCCGUGUUCAGUAAUCGAGUGCAUAGUGUUUUUUCUCAGUUUUUCUUAAAUAUUAUUUCGAUUUCAAACAGCCAGCAAUUUCCAAGGUAUCAUCAGUUCCGACACCGGGGUGUGUUUCCGUUUGCUCAACCAACAACCGAUCUGCUGGUGCGUUUGAUCUGGAUGGUUUUUCGUUCAAUUCGAUUCCCGACUUACGGAUAUACUCUCCCCAAGGUCAUUUCGGGCCUUUCAGACAGCGGGACAAAGAUCUGAGGCCUUUGCAAUUCCAGAAAGGAUUGUUUCCGAGACUGCACGACCAGGCAAUUAAAACUGAUGUGGCCCGAUUGACCCCGGUGACCGAACACUUCUUCAACAAAGUGGGCGGGCAGAUCAUCAAGCUAAUCAGCAGGACAAGUCAAACUGUUUAACAAUGUCUUCGGCUUUCGGAUUGGUUUCCGUAGCUUGUUCGGAUCUUGCUACAUCGAACUUUAGCAUCCUAGAGAAUGUUCGGAUCUCGGACUGGCAAAACAACGAUUCUCAAGAAUCUCUGUGGAUCCCAGCAAGCGGCAGAACAAGCUGCUGAAGGCAGUCAGUGGCUUGAUGGAUAUGUAGAAAUUCCAGGCCACCCGGAUGAAAUUAGUGCAAAUCCCUACUCAAAAGCUGGAAAUUUUCGGCCUCGCCCGAUGGUGAUGCGUGUACACGGGGAUUUUUUAAAGCCGAUACGUAGGAACUGACGUGAAUUCUAUCAGAUUCUCCAUAAAGCAACACUCCGACGGCGUGAGCUCAAGCGGCCGUGGAUGCCCUAUGUCCUUGUGGUGUCAGCAACAGCAAGAGAGUGGAUCAUCUCAAAGAGCCUGUGAAGUGGAAGCGGUCUGCUCCGGCGAUGCCGACAUCCUCUCCUCCGUUCGUGAUAUGCAGUGCCUCAUCAAGUACCUAAGUGAAGUGUCGCAAGUCUUGCAGCUGCUGCAACAUCUUAAGAUACACCAGACUUCUACGUUGGGAUGAAGUGGGAAUUCACCAACUGGGCACCGUAGGUGUCUCGUGUCUGCCAAAGCCACAUUUUUAAAGGCCAGUCGGAAUCGGCUACCAUAUGGUGAUAUGGUCAUAUGAUUGAGAUCGAUCACAAUACCGGCAGUGGAAUUACGCCGUCGAAGGAAUCGGUGGCUGCAGGUUCUCGUGGUUUGUAACGAUAUCGACAUGGACAAGACUCGUUCCGAACGGAAGAAAUCGGAUUCUGAGGAUGGCGUUGCGAAAAGGUAGAGAACAUCAACGUGUACGAGUGCAAAUUGUACGGAACGAGCAAUGUGGAAUACGUAGCCUGUGGCCGUAAGAGAAAUGAAAAGUGAGGAAAAAGUUCGAAUUAAAAGAUCUCAUACACCACUGCUACAGCACUUAAUAAGAAUGACCGAAGAGGAUUAUGAAUGCGAGAUUCAACGCCCUCAGAGAUUCUGAUGCAUCGCCUUUACUGGGUAAAGGUAAGCAGUUCCAACAAAAGCCUUGUCCAUGAAGCGGCAGCAAGAACUUCGAAUGCUUCCUCGGUUGGGACGGUACCCAGCGUUGCGAUAUGUUUUUCGACGGAAGUGGAUCUCCAGGAGCGAGUCGUUGGCAAACCGGAAUGGAUAUCCGCCAAGGUGCAGCGCUUCAAGGCGUACAUCUGGCUGAGCUACCAGUUCUCCACCAAGCUGCAAUAACAGGUGCUGCCCAUUUUAGGCCUGAUGUCUUCAUGUGCCCCCCUUUGUCACCAUACGGCUUUCCGCGGGACACUCGGUUAAGAUCGAUAUACCGCUGGCAAACCAGUGGCAAACAUCGCCAGUCUGCAGGAAAUUGAAGAAGCACCGCGUCCUUUGUCGACAUUAAUUUUUGUUCCGACGUGCCGGCUGAGUUCGCGAACAGAUGGUAACGAUGCCUGUAUUCUAAAGAUAGAAAACAUUAUGUUGUUUAUGUUCAAAAUUGUAUAUUUGCAAAAAGAAAAUAAACAUACACGGUAACUUCGUA